AUGAUGAUGAUGAUGAUCAUUUAAUUUCGGUUUUCAACGACGAUUGGAAAAGUCGGAUUCUAGGGUGCAAUAAAUCACAAGUUGUGGUGCAUAAUACAUAUCGAAACCCUGAGGUAUGUCUCGUCUGAAUUUUGCCUAUUUGCAUCAUAUGUGAAUUUGAAUCAUCAUAUCCGUUUGCCUAAUUAGUCUGUAUAUUGUCAGUUUCCUACAGUUGUGGUAUCUUUGCUCUUCUCAAUCAAACUAUGGUGCACUACAUCAUUAACCAAACUAAUGAAAAAGGUAUGCUAUCUAAUUGGUGUUCCAUUAUCUUGAGAAUGUACUAGAUCCUCUUGACAAAAUGUGUGGGAACCUUGGUUAUUUUUAUAUAUAAAUUUUAAUUAAAUGGGGCCGUCGACUCCCCAAAUCUUAUUUAGUUGCGCUUUUAAGCCAAGGAUUCCAUCAUUUUGUUCGAGUUGUAACGAGCCUCUAGUACAUUAUCUUUUUAAUGGCACCCCAUCCUCUACUUAUUA